CGCCUCUCAAAGUGGCUGUGAAAUGUUUGUUUUUUAUGUAUUCAUAUCACAGCCAGCUUUGAAGAGCGAUU
rnacentral:pre_miRNA from 1 species